ensembl:lincRNA Gm2511 predicted gene 2511
GAUUGGCAGAGAGCGACUGCACACCAGUUGGUUCGCCGGGUGCCUCUUUCUAUGCUAGCCAGCCUGUCAAUCCUCAGCUCUUGUUGUCAUCGACUUACUCAUGACAGUAAAUAGCAUUGCAUACCUGGGAAUUCUUGCUGUUACAGAUGGACCCACCACAUGCACAGCUCGAACCUGCCAGACUUCUUAACUCCUUCUGCUCUGUGGAGAAGAUAUUGCAGUGCAGUUGUUCCUUCCAUGGGAUCCCCACUCCUUCUGUGCGAUGGUGGGUGGACGGUGCCCCUGUGGAUGUGAACAGUGGACAUGGCCACUUCCAGGUGACCUCUACCACACUUGGUCCCUGGGACAACAGCACCCUCAGCCUGGCCAGGGACCCAGAAAUGGGCACAGUUCUUCUCUGUGAGGGGAAGAACCAACAUGGAAUCCAUGGUCUGAGCAUCCUUCUGAUGUCAAGAAGGGGCCCUUUGGCUCCCCAGAUUUUCCUGGAAGCUCUGCUACGGGGUGUUGUCUAUGCAGCCAUGGCAAUCACACUACUUUUUCUCUGCCUCCUCCCCUUCAUGUGA